GGGGGCCCCAUUGGGCAGUGGCCCAUAUGGCCAACUGGGUGUGCGGGAGUGCGGGUACCGGGCGCGGGCGCCCAUCCAGGGCGAGGCCGUGGCCUCAGCUGGGCUCAGGGCCGGCCCUGAGGGGGGGCAGGGGGGCGGCCGCCCCGGGCCCCCAACAUCCAGGGGCCCCCGCCCAAGUAUGCAACAACUAAGCCUAGGUAGGCUAUGGGCCUAUGUCCGAAGAAAAAAUCAAAGGGCUGGGCGCUGGGCUUUAUUUAGUCUUCCAGGCAGACGCGCGAGCGCAAAACGAUCGCUAAAAAAAGCAAGCAGCAGGACGAUCGCUUUGAUCCCACUUUCCCCACCCAUCGUCGAUUCGUUCGUAUUCCAAUCACGAUCAGCCGCAAGCGAGCCCUUCACGUGAAAAAAGGAGCCAACAACGCGCGCCCUUCCUAUUCAAUCGGAUCACGCAGGCGCAGCUAUUCUAGCCCUAGCCGCCGAGGCCGGAUGUUCAUACUGGUACUGACGCCUCAUCCCUCCCGACUCCUGGUAAUCUCCUUCCUAAUUGACUGCUGAUUUCAGUUCCUAGGGCCCCCAUCUUAAUUUUGCAUAGGUAGUUAGGAACGCGUGUAAUCUAGUUCGCCGCUGAUUUCAAUUCCAGAGGCCCUCAUCUGUAAUUCCAUAAAGCACACGAACAAGGAAGACGGCCAUGGAUAAAUUGGUACAAUCAGGACAUAUUCAUCGGGUAGGGAUAAAAGGACAAGGAAGACGGCCAUGGAUAAAUUGGUACAAUCACAACACCCAGAUACGCACAAAUUUCUCAAGAGUAAUAAUGGUGCUUCCACUGCUUCGAUAAACAAAGAUGAUGAUUGGCAAUGGUUCCCAUAGAGGAAGAGCAACAACCAAUUGGGAAUUCAGAAUAUGAUCAGCGAGUAGAAAAUGUUGACACCAGCAUCGGCGAUGACAAUGUAAGUGGCUACGAGAUUAUGAGAUUAUUGAACUUAUUUUUGAACUAAAGAGUAUGAGUCACUUUGCCAUAUGGUGUAAUGUCUGCCAUGGAGAUUUUCGAACAUGUUAGAGAAGUUGAUAGCUAUCCUAAUAUCUCCAUUGUUUCUCACAUUUUAUUUGAUAUGCCUAUGAUGGUCGCAUCAGUCAAAAGAAGCUUUUCAAAUUUGUAAUUAUUGAAGAAACUAUUUGAGGUCAA